rnacentral:rRNA from 1 species
UAAUACAGAGGCCUCGAGCGUUAGGCGGAAUCACUGGGCUUAAAGCGUGUGUAGGCGGAGUUCUAAGUACCUUGUGAAAUCCCACCGCUCACCGGUGGAACUGCUGGGUAUACUGGUUCUCUUGAGCCACUUAGGGGCUACCGGAACAAAUGGUGGAGCGGUGAAAUGCGUAGAUAUCAUUUGGAACGCCAAUGGUGAAAACAGGUAGCUGGGAGUGUGCUGACGCUGAGACACGAAAGCCAGGGGAGCGAACGGGAUUAGAUACCCCGGUAGUCCUGGCCCUAAACGAUGUCGACUAGAUCGUGGUAGCUCUGACGCUUUCACGGUCGAAGCAAAAGUGCUAAGUCGACCGCCUGGGAAGUACGGUCGCAAGGCUA